CGACAACCAUGUUGGGCAAUGGCGGCCGGGGCGGGGAGAGGAGAGGAGAUUGGCGCCAGGUCGGGAGCCGCCGACUCUCGGGACAGCGGCCUGGAGCGAGGGAGUCCAAUUAAGGGUGUCGAUCCGAAACCACCCAUUCCUCCUUCUCCUCUCCAGAGAUGCUGCCUGUCCCGCUGAGUUACUCCAGCAUUUCGUGUCUUAUUUUCAGGAGGGAUGAACCGUCUGAGCGCGAAUCGUUUUGCCUCUUUAAAUCGGUCGCGAAUCCGUUGUUCAAAAAAAUCCUCUCCACAGCGCUAACCCUCUCCCCCCCCCCCCCCGAGAUGACGCUCCCGCCCGCCCGCCCGCUCUUCUCCCCGACGUCCGAUGUGGGAGAGGACAAGAUGAAGGUAAGGCGGGCGCGGGUUGGUUAGGUCCGACUCCGUGCUGCCCCUCAGUGACACAGUGAGAGAGGGGAGGGAGGGAGAGGGAGAGAGAGAGAGAGAGAGAGAGAGACAACGCUCGCCGCCAAGAUGGCGCCCGGCGCGAGCCCUGCCCCCAACCGCCGACAUUUUGUCUCCGCCGUCGGCCGCACAAAGCGCCUUGGCCGCAGCGGCUGCAGUUCUCCACCGCCCACACUCAUCUCAAAACAAACAGAAAACACCGGCCUCGUCGACGCCCUCACCGUAACAUAACAAUCAAUUGGAUUGAGCUUCGUCUUUCCCAACCUGACCCCGCCAUUUCCCCCUCGCUGUCAACCAUUUUGCCAAAGUUUUAUUUAUUUUUUGUAAUAAAACACAAUGUUGGGGGAACUCAGCGGGACGGGCAGCAUCAGUGAGGGGAUGGACAGGCGAUGGUUCGGGUCGGGGCUCAACACUGUAUUUUACACGAGAUUCCAGCGUCUGCAGUUCCGUGUGUGUCUGUGUUGCAUUUUAGUUUUGCUCUCAGCCUAAUCUGGUACACGGGACGGCUAUGUUUUCUUUAAGUGAGAAGGGCAACGCCCCCGAUGGUUUCCACGCCCUCUUUUUCCUGCACACCACGGGUGAGGGACGUAUAUAUAUAUAUAGGUUUAUGGUUGGAGGGAAUCCUGAGGGGCAACUUUUUCUACACAUAGGGUGGUGGGUAUAUGGACGAGCUGCCAGAGGAUGUAGUUGAGGCAAGUAUAACAUUUAAAAGAUAUCUGGACAGAUACAUGGAUAGGAAAGGUUUAGAAGGACAUGGGCCUAAUGCAGGUGGGUGUGACUGCUGUCAUAGUGAUAUAUCAUAAAAACAGGCCCUUUGGCCCAACAUACCUGAGUUUGGUCCAUAUAUCCCUCCAAACCUGUCCUGGCAAGGACAAUUUAGGCUAAAGGGCCUGUUUCUGUUCUGUGUCUAUUUGCUUGUUGCCACCCAUGAGAUUUUCAUUAGUAUGGCGUAUCAUGAAAAGGGCAUUGCGUUUGCAGCAUGAUCUUUUGGUUCUGGUGCAGGUGUUCAAUGUACAUAAGCUGACGUUUAUACAUUGGGUGGGAAGAGAGCUGAUGUAUGGAGAUCCCAUUUACCCAGAGUGCCGGUUUUGAAGCUCGGUCGAGGAGAAGAAACAAGAUUAGAGAUACAAUUGCAAUUGUGCAAUACAAUACAAAUACAAUUGUGGGAUUAGUGGGUGAAGAGAUUAAAAGGUUCAAGGGGAUACCGUGUGGAGCAACAUGUUUUGAAACGUGAAAGAGGUAAACACUUGGAUAUUUAUCUAAUAAGUUAUCAAAAUGCAAGUUCUGCUGGAAAUAUGAAAAAAAAAAACAAUGUUGGAAACACUUGGCAGACCAGAUAACAUUUGCGGAGUGAGAAAAUAUUAUGUUUCAUAUUGAUGGUCUUUGAUUGAAACUGGAAAUACAUCCACUAAGCAGAUUUAACCAUCCAGAAGAAUGGGAGAUGAAGAACCCAGGGUAUCAUGAGGUUGGAAGGGGAGAUUAAUUCACAAAAGGAGUGAUAGUGCAAAUAUCCAAGGUGUAGUGAUACUCGGAAGCAGUGACAGACUGAAAUUAUCUAAUGAAUCCUGAAAAGCAAAAGUUGGUUUAACUGACGGUGGAAUCUGGAAGGCUACAUAACAUGCCUAUGAGAACUAUCUUUGUUCUUCCUCCAGCAGGCUGAUUUUAUUUUAUCUUCACAUUUCAGAUGAAAUUUGCUGAAUAAGAUAUCAAUCAUUGUUUAUUUCUUUUGUGUGAGAGGGCUUAAUUUGAGUGAACAUUUAUUAAACAAUUCUAUAAUGUUACUGCCCACACCAACACUAAGUUGCAGAAGGGCUAUAAAGGAGUUAAUUGCUUUUCUUUGGUAUGAAAAUAUUCUCAUUGAGUCACGGCACAGACUUUCAUGGAAAAGAGCAAAGAAAGGAUUCACUGGUGCUACAAAUUUGAUUGUAGAUCCAUGGAGGUAUAUAAUAAAUCAUGGCAAACUGGAUAAACUUUGCCUCUCAAAGGGUUGGAUGAUUGCCUAAAAAAAGUGAAUACAAGGCCUAUUAUCUGUAUUAAAACCACUGUAUAGCCAACAUUUGUCUGAAAUAAUUGAUGUACAUGUUGAUGCUUGAAAGUUAAUGAGCUUACCUCCAGGGUUUAACAAGGAAUACCUGAUUAUUUUUUUUGAAUGCAAUGGAGCAUGUACAGUGUUGAUUUCAUGAGAUAAAUAAAAUAAUGAUCUUUGCAAAA